AGCAUUAGUCGGACUGAAAUGAAGACAUUUUUCGUUAAAUUUGUCAUUUUAUGGACAUUAUUUGCGAUUUUAGAAUGCAAAUCACAAAAGUUACCCACGAAAUACGAGUUGGCGAGAGAUAAUUGUGCGUCUCUGAUGCUUUUAGCGAAUAAAAACAUCAAAAAAAGGACUUUUGCUCAAUGGCACAUUGGAAAAUUCAAAAAAUCAGGAGGAGAUAUUUAUGUCAAAUGUUUAUAUCGCCGUCUUAAUUGGGGAACCCGAUCGCAACCUAAUGGAGAAUUAAAAUUCAAUUCUGCGAACUUUUUCAAGGACCUUCCGAAUUUAGACGAAAAUUUUAUUAACAAUUGUUCCAAAAAAUCCGGAAAUUUAUUCGUAUUCCACAAGUGCAUUUUGAGCAAUAAUCCCGUAAAAAGUGAAAUUUUACGCAAAAUAACUGGAAAAACUGAUGAAAGCGCUGCUUUUAAGAAGACUUUGAAGGAUUUGAAAGCAAAUUGGAACAAAAUCAAAAGAAAUACUUUCCGUGAAAUGGUGAUCGUGCCGAAAUAUUAACAAAAUUUCUACAAAAAAUGAAUUUUGUGGCGCUUGAAUACCUUUUUUUGUUCUCGAACACACGUCAAAAUAUAACAAUGCAGUGAAAAACUGCCUUUUGUCGCAAAUUGGUCGCAAAUCAUCA